AUACGUAGGUGGCAAGCGUUGUCCGGAUUUAUUGGGUUUAAAGGGUGCGUAGGCGGCCCGUUAAGUCAGCGGUGAAAUACCCAGGCCUAACCUGGGGGGUGCCGUUGAUACUGGCGGGCUUGGGUUCUGUAGAGGCAGGCGGAAUUGACGGUGUAGCGGUGAAAUGCAUAGAUAUCACAUAGAACACCAGUGGCGAAGGCGGUGAGCUGGGUCAUUAUUGACGCUCAUGCACGAAAGUGUGGGUAGC
rnacentral:rRNA from 1 species